GGGUGCUGGGAGUGUCAGGGGUGCAGUGUGUGCGCUGUGCGUGUCGGGUGCAGUGUGUGUGCUGUGAGUGUUAGGGGUGCAGUGUGUGUGUGUGUGAGGGUCAGACGUGCAGUGUGUGUGAGGGUCCUGUGAGUGUCGGGGUGCAGUGUGUGUGCUGUGAGUGUUAGGGGUGCAGUGUGUGUGUGAGUGUCAGGGGUGCAGUGUGUGUGAGUGAGGGUGCUGGGAGUGUCAGGGGUGCAGUGUGUGUGUGAGUGAGGGUGCUGGGAGUGUUAGGGGUGCAGUGUGUGUGCUGUGAGUGUCAGGGGUGCAGUGUGUGUGUGAGUGAGGGUGC